rnacentral:rRNA from 1 species
AUUGAACGCUGGCGGCAUGCUUUACACAUGCAAGUCGAACGGCAGCGCGGGCUUCGGCCUGGCGGCGAGUGGCGAACGGGUGAGUAAUGCAUCGGAACGUGCCCAGUAGUGGGGGAUAGCCCGGCGAAAGCCGGAUUAAUACCGCAUACGACCUGAGGGUGAAAGCGGGGGACCGAAAGGCCUCGCGCUAUUGGAGCGGCCGAUGUCGGAUUAGCUAGUUGGUGGGGUAAAGGCUUACCAAGGCGACGAUCCGUAGCUGGUCUGAGAGGACGACCAGCCACACUGGGACUGAGACACGGCCCAGACUCCUACGGGAGGCAGCAGUGGGGAAUUUUGGACAAUGGGGGCGACCCUGAUCCAGCCAUGCCGCGUGCGGGAAGAAGGCCUUCGGGUUGUAAACCGCUUUUGUUCGGGGAGAAAUCCUCUGGGCUAAUACCCCGGGGGGAUGACGGUACCGGGAGAAUAAGCACCGGCUAACUACGUG